rnacentral:rRNA from 1 species
CAAUAGCGUAUAUUAAAGUUGUUGCAGUUAAAAAGCUCGUAGUUGGAUUUCUGGUCGGAAGCUCCUGUCCUCUGAUGAGCGUACAAGUGCGUCCUACCAUCCUUCUGUUAACCUUUAAGGCUUUCGCGGCUUUCUAGGGGCUCAGAUAUUUUACCUUGAGAAAAUUAGAGUGUUUCAGGCAGGCUAGCGCCGGAAUACAUUAGCAUGGAAUAAUGGAAUAGGACUUUUGCCUCUUCUGUUGGUCAUGAGGCUCGAGUAAUGAUUAAUAGGGAUAGUUGGGGGCAUUAGUACUUAACUGUCAGAGGUGAAAUUCUCGGAUUUGUUAAAGACUAACUUAUGCGAAAGCAUUUGCCAAGGAUGUUUNCAUUGA